UACGGAGGGGGCUAGCGUUGUUCGGAAUUAUUGGGCGUAAAGAGCUCGUAGGCGGUCUGUCGCGUCGAUCGUGAAAACUUGGGGCUUAACCCUGAGCUUGCGGUCGAUACGGGCAUGACUGGAGUUCGGCAGGGGAGACUGGAAUUCCUGGUGUAGCGGUGAAAUGCGCAGAUAUCAGGAGGAACACCGGUGGCGAAGGCGGGUCUCUGGGCCGAUACUGACGCUGAGGAGCGAAAGCGUGGGGAGCGAACAGG
rnacentral:rRNA from 1 species